AUGAAGGAGGCAAAACGGCAGCUUUAUCAUGGUUGUACCAAGUUUUCAAGGUUCUCCUUUGUGGUAAAGCUUCUUCACUUGAAGUCAUACCAUAGGAUCCCGAAUAGUGCAUUUACUGAAAUUUUGAAGCUAUUAGCUAAAGAAUUCCCUAAACCCAAUACGCUCCCAAAAUCGUAUAAGGAAGCAAAGAACCUUCUAAAGGAAUUAGGCCUUGGGUAUGAGUCUGUGGCCUAUCAAGGUGGAAAGACCCUGCUAGAAAGAAGACUCCAUAGAAAGUGUUGA
rnacentral:rRNA from 1 species